GCAGUUUGAAAAAAGAAAAACGGCAGGGGAUAUUAAGUUCAGGGAGGACAAACCUUGAACUCUGCGUCUGUAACUUUCCUGACUGUGUUACUUAACGCUCUCAGUGUGUAAAAGCUAAAAGUCCAACGUCCCCACCUGAGUCACUUUGUCCCACUCAAGACUGCUGAGUGGCUGCUUUGAAACGCUUCGAACAAAGCUGUUUCAGGACUCUGAACCAACGACCAGCUGCCUUGCACUGUUAUUUUUUUGUUGUUGUAAACUCAACAGGCAAAGCAGACUUGGCUUUUCGUGAUCGGGAAACAAACACAAGAGAUGUGGAAAGGUAGGUUCAGUCAGAGCUCACACAGCCUCACAAAAAUAAGGUGUUUUGUUAAGAACGACAGAACCAAUUGACUCUUUAGAACUAGAACCUGAACUCCCUUCUCUUUCGUCUUUGGUUGCGACGAUUUAACCCUUUCGAGGUUUUUCAGUGCUGGAAAGUGCAUCACCUUUUUCUUUCUAUUGAGAUUCAGACAUAAACCUCUUUGAUUUAUGCCGCUAAUGAUUAUAAACCUGCUGGAUCGGUUUAUCUUUGAAAUAAGGAAAGAAAGAUACUCCAAGUAAAAUAAAGUAGCAUCUGUUCAUAUCAAUGUGAUGUACUUUCUGUUUUGAUAAAUCUUAUGAUUAGAUUGGUUUGGAUGAUUCUAAGAUUGUACUAAUAUAACUACUUUUUCUCAGUCUGGGAAUUUUUCCAGUUAAAUUUAGAUUGAUUUUUGUGUUAUUGUAUCAAACUUGUGUGACGUGAAUAAGAUAAAUUAUUUGUAAUGAAGCUAUAGACAGUGACUUUGUGCACUCUUUGUUUUCUUUUUAUUCCCAUAGAAAGUAGGCUUAAGUGCUUAUGUGUUCAGAAGCCAAUGGCAUAAAUUGGACCAGUAAUGUCCAGUUCAUGAUUAUAAAAAUAAACUACACCCCUGCAUCACAUCUGAGAAACAGUCUUCAUCUGAAUCUGUUCGCAUCAGAAAGCCUCAUGUUGUGGGGUUCCUCAAGCUUCAGUUCUGGGCCUUAUUCUUUUCCUACGCUGUGUACAUCCACUGGUGACAUCCAGCUCUACUGUUUUGUUUCUUUUUUUUGUUUUUUUUCCUCUCGGUUAUUCCGAGUUUCAUAAAUUGUCUAAGUUAAUUUAGUGCCUGUCGGAAUUUUUUUUAAAAAGAAGAAAAAAAGGGUUUAAUGGCCAUUUUCUCCAGCUAAAUGAAUAUAAAACGGAGCCAUUGAUCCAGCAAUAUCUCAGUUUUAUAGGCUCCUCUGUUAAAUCAUGCCUCAGUAAUUUGGAUAAGCCAAUGGCUGCACUAGAUGUUUAAGUCAGAGGAUUUAUCUGUGACACCAACACCUGGGAAUCCACUUCCUCUGUCGAUUAAAAAGCAGCAGAAGCCGUCUUCUUCACACAAUGAUUUUGUUUGAACAGCAAUUCUUUCAUUUAGUGUCGUUUUAGUCUCUUGUCUAAAUUUUUAUUAUGUUUUUCUAUUCUUUAUCCUAUAAUGAGGCCUUUCAUGAUUUAUUUUUUUAUUAUUUCUGAACAUUAAUACACUUUGCUUAUACUCUGUUACUUAGUACUUGCAUUUAAUGGAGGCUGACAUUUGCUGUGAACUUGCAUUACAUAAAUGAACUGAAUUAUUUCCUCUUGUUUUUCUGCAUACAUCUUUUAACAAUACGAUUACUUGCCAAACAGCUAAUCCAUUAAAAAAAUUAGAUUAUUUGCAAACUGUAGAUGGAGCAAAAAUAACAAACAGCUAGCCAACUUGGAAAAGAAAAGAGCAUUCAGGACCGCAGAGAUUGUGAAAUCUUUUUUAGUUUGGUCCCUUGCUGUCUAUUAAAUCACAGGAAGAAUGUGAUCUCAAAAAUGUCUCCGGAAUGACAGCAGAUGAAGAAAAAUGGUGACAAACAAGACGAAUUAGAGGUCAGCUGAGGAUGCUGCACUGUUUGAGGCAAGGAAGAGGGGAGAAAUGGAGUAGCCAUUUCAAAAAGUGACGAUUAAUCACAGUCGAUGAACCCUGUCAGGCCGAAUUUGAUUGAGAACGAGACACAGAAGAAACCUGCCCCUCUGCGAAAUCAGCCCAACUGCUUCUGGUCUGCAAGAGCUUAUGGACCCAAUUCAGAAAAAAAACCAAAUGAACAAAAAAAAAAGGCCAACCCAAUUCUCCUGUGGAAAAUGGCACCGCAGCAAUCAUGGGUAAUAUAAGAGCCUCCUGCGAGAGCAGCGGAAAGGGGUCUGGUGGCCAAUCAGACAGUCUGCGAGGGAAAGUGGAAUCCACCUGAUUUACGCUAAUCACACAGCUGUUCUGUAUGUUAAUGCCAGACAGAUAGACGGAGCGAGACCGGAGAUGGCAAGAGAAUGAGUGAACGUCUGAAAACAAAGGAGAUGGAAAAGGUCAAAGAAGCUGACCUUUUUCAUCUGAGAGUAAGAACAAAUCACGGAAAACUCCAAAAGAGCUGAAGGUCACGGCUGCGCAGGGCGACUCCUGCCAAAGGAAACAGCAGGCGGCUGUGACUGCGCGCUAUUUAGCUUCGGCUCAUCAGAUGCCAACGGAUGAUGUAUGGUGUUGUGUAGCUGGACUCAGAUAAGACGUAGGCACGCUGCGCUGAAGAAG